CUUAAGAGAUGGAGAGCAGCGGACGGGUGAGUAACGCGUGGGAAACCUGCCCUUGACAGGAGGAUAGCCGAGAGAAAUUUCGAUUAAUACUUCAUAAAGCAGAGCAUUCGCAUGGAUGAACUGCCAAAGAAUUAUCGGUCAAGGAUGGUCCCGCGUCUGAUUAGCUGGUUGGUAAGGUAGCGGCUUACCAAGGCGACGAUCAGUAGCCGGCCUGAGAGGGUGAACGGCCACAUUGGAACUGAGACACGGUCCAGACUCCUACGGGAGGCAGCAGUGGGGAAUAUUGCACAAUGGGCGAAAGCCUGAUGCAGCAACGCCGCGUGAAGGAAGAAGGCUUUCGAGUCGUAAACUUCUGUCCAAAGGGAAGAAUAAUGACGGUACCUUUGAAGAAAGCCCCGGCUAACUACGUGCCAGCAGCCGCGGUAAUACGUAGGGGGCGAGCGUUAUCCGGAAUUACUGGGCGUAAAGAGUAUGUAGGUGGUUAAGUAAGCGUAGGGUUUAAGGCGACAGCCCAACUGUCGUAUGCCCCGCGAACUGUUUAACUUGAGUACAGGAGGGGAAGGCGGAAUUCCUAGUGUAGCGGUGAAAUGCGUAGAUAUUAGGAGGAACACCAGUGGCGAAGGCGGCCU
rnacentral:rRNA from 1 species